rnacentral:rRNA from 1 species
GACGAACGCUGGCGGCGUGCCUAAUACAUGCAAGUUGAGCGAUGAAGAUUGGUGCUUGCACCAAUUUGAAGAGCAGCGAACGGGUGAGUAACGCGUGGGGAAUCUGCCUUUGAGCGGGGGACAACAUUUGGAAACGAAUGCUAUUACCGCAUAAUAACUUUAAACAUAAGUUUUAAGUUUGAAAGAUGCAAUUGCAUCACUCAAAGAUGAUCCCGCGUUGUAUUAGCUAGUUGGUGAGGUAAAGGCUCACCAAGGCGAUGAUACAUAGCCGACCUGAGAGGGUGAUCGGCCACAUUGGGACUGAGACACGGCCCAAACUCCUACCGGAGGCAGCAGUAGGGAAUCUUCGGCAAUGGACGAAAGUCUGACCGAGCAACGCCGCGUGAGUGAAGAAGGUUUUCGGAUCGUAAAACUCUGUUGGUAGAGAAGAACGUUGGUGAGAGUGGAAAGCUCAUCAAGUGACGGUAACUACCCAGAAAGGGACGGCUAACUACGUG